CGAACGCUAGCGGCGGGCUUAACACAUGCAAGUCGAGCGCUCGGAGCAAUCCGGGAGCGGCGAACGGGUGAGUAACGCGUAGGUAACCUGCCCUCUGGUGGUGGAUAACACAGGGAAACUUGUGACAAUACAGCAUAUGGUCUACGGAUCAAAGCCGAAAGGCGCCAGAGGAUGAGCCUGCGUCCCAUUAUUUAAUCCUAGUUGGCGGGGUAAUGGCCCACCAAGGGUACGAUGGGUAGCUGGUCUGAGAGGAUGAUCAGCCACACUGGAACUGAGACACGGUCCAGACUCCUACGGGAGGCAGCAGUGGGGAAUAUUGCGCAAUGGGGGAAACCCUGACGCAGCCACGCCGCGUGUGUGAUGAAGGCCUUCGGGUCGUAAAGCACUGUCGGGAGGGAAGAAGUUCUGACGGUACCUCCCAAGAAAGCACCGGCUAGCCCUGUGCCAGCAG
rnacentral:rRNA from 1 species